rnacentral:misc_RNA from 1 species
AGAUAAUUUUUGUUCUAGUACUAAAGACAUGAAAUGUUUUAAUAUACCUGAUACAAUUUCGUCAGUAAGCUUGAAAGUCAUCAUGUAUAGUUAAUAGUGUGAAUUAUUUUCUUGAUUUAAUUCAAAGACCAACUCCACUCCUUACCAAAGACAACAAAGCUCAACUAUCGUCAUGGAUUGGUAAAAAAUGCCAAUUUGAGUUGCUGUACAAAAUAAGCAGGGAUGGCUGUUGCUCAAGUACGUUUCAUGAUAUCUGUGACGGAGAAGGCCCCACAGUUACCAUACUAUACAACACAGACACCACUGUUUACGGAGGAUUCCUGUCUCAGAGUUGGACGUCAUCUGGAAACUACAUCGAUGACCCAAACGCUUUCUUAUUCAUUCUAUCUCACCAAAGCGUCCAAAGUCCUAGAAUGUUUCCUCUGACCGAUCAUACAAAGGCUGCAUUUGCUCACAAUCUAUUUGGACCAACUUUUGGAGAAGUUAGUGGGAGAGAUAUGAUACGUCUGCCACAGAAUCGCGGUCAAAAUUAUCUUUUCAGUGGUCUUCAAAUGUGGAAAGGAAAUAUUGACAACACUUUUAUGCAACCAUAUCUGAUAAGUUUCCAAAAUACAGUAUAUGCUUCGAAUCCACGAUGUUCUCCAGGCUAUGGGUCAUCGCAUGCAAACAACAGCAAUCAAGUCUUCAAUCUUAAUGGGGAAGUCAAUUUUGGUGUAAACUCUGAUGGACAAUAUAUGAAUAUGAACAAUAUCAACUAUAUGCUUGUGUCCGAUUUAGAAGUUUAUUCAGUGAAAGCUGUGGUCAUUCAACAGGCAUCAAAUUUAAGACAACUUAAUACAACACACGAAGUAUCCAAACAAUGGCGGGAACCACCUCAGUGGAGUGAGCAGAGUUUUCAACAAUUGAAAGACUUUGUCUCCAGGUACAAGCCAUUACCUGACAUGAAGAUCUCGGAGGUCAAUAUUUUACUGGUAGGACAGAUCAACGCUGGAAAGUCUAGUUUUUUCAACACUUUGAACUCCAUUUUUCGUGGGGAAAUAUCUGCACGCGCAUGCGCCGGAAGUUCGCAGCACAGUCUUACUACAGAUCUUCGGAAAUAUAGAAUCCGUAACCGGGCAACUAGUGGUUAUCUGAAUUUCCGGCUUUGUGACACCCGUGGAUUAGAGGAAGAAAUGUCCAUGCAUCUGCAGGAUAUGGCGCUUCUUCUGGAUGGACAUUUAUCAGACCAGUAUAAGGAAUUCCACACGUUGUUUUCCUGACAAAAUUAGACAAGGUUUGUCCUAUGGUUGACGAAGAUGUUCGAAAAAUCUAUCAAAGUCAAGCCUGUAAAAAAGCCAUAGAAACAGCAGCUGACGUCAUAGGAAUUCCUCGAGGUCACGUGUUUCCGGUCAAAAAUUACGAACAAGAAACUCAAUUACAAACAAAUGUCAGUAUUGUUGCUCUGACAGCCAUGAGACAGACUCUAGUGUUUGCUGAUGACUACCUAGAAGAUCAGUACGAGCUUCAGUCUGACCAAUAGAUUCUGAUUAAAGAUAUAAUCUUACUAAGUACACAUAUUACAUCUGUACUAAACUUUUACGACUCACUAUCAUUCAGAUGCACUCUAAUUAAUGUAUAUAUGAUGUUAUGCUUAAUAAAGGAUU